rnacentral:rRNA from 1 species
GGCUGAUUUUUUUAUGUCUGACCUGCCCAGUGAUUUAUUUAACGGCCGCGGUAUUUUGACCGUGCAAAGGUAGCAUAAUCAUUUGUCUUUUAAUUGGAGGCUGGAAUGAAUGGUUUGACGAGGGAAUAUCUUUAUUAUUAUAAAUUGUAAAAUUUAACUUUUAAGUUAAAAGGCUUAAAUUUUUUUAUGGGACGAGAAGACCCUAUAGAGCUUUACUUUAUUUAAUACUUAUUUUUUUAAGUUUUUAUAUAUAUAAUUUUUAUUUCAAGUUAAGUUGGGGCGACUUUGGGGAUUAUUCAACUCCCAAUUAUUAAUUUCACUAAUUGGUGUUUUUGAUCCAUUAUUAAUGAUUAUAAGAUUAAGCUACCUUAGGGAUAACAGCGUAAUUUAUUUGGAGAGUCCUUAUCGAUAAAUAAGAUUGCGA